rnacentral:rRNA from 1 species
AUGGGCACUAGUUCACUCUCUGUUGUUGAGAUUCCUGUGGUGUCCGACUUGGAAGAUGAAGAGCCGGUCGCUCGCUCACACAAUUUCGUGUCCCUGGGGAUUGAUAGUGGCUUCUGCUUGGUGACCUGUUGGAGCGUUGACGAAACGCCGUAUCCCCCGCAUCGCCGGGCGCACAUCAGGGUGAGGACGUACAAAACAGAUGAUUUUGUGGAGUCGGAGGGGAAAUGCUUGGUCGUCUCCAAGCAGUGGAUGCAGGUUUACAAGAUCUGCGAUUUGAUCCGGACACUAGAUGAGCCAUCUAGAUAUGAAUUCUCGUGA